rnacentral:rRNA from 1 species
AACGAACGCUGGCGGCAUGCCCAACACAUGCAAGUCGAACGAGAUCUUCGGAUCUAGUGGCGCACGGGUGCGUAACGCGUGGGAAUCUACCCUUGGGUUCGGAAUAACAGUUAGAAAUGACUGCUAAUACCGGAUGAUGACGAAAGUCCAAAGAUUUAUCGCCCAAGGAUGAGCCCGCGUAGGAUUAGCUAGUUGGUGGGGUAAAGGCCUACCAAGGCGACGAUCCUUAGCUGGUCUGAGAGGAUGAUCAGCCACACUGGGACUGAGACACGGCCCAGACUCCUACGGGAGGCAGCAGUGGGGAAUAUUGGACAAUGGGCGAAAGCCUGAUCCAGCAAUGCCGCGUGAGUGAUGAAGGCCUUAGGGUUGUAAAGCUCUUUUACCCGGGAUGAUAAUGACAGUACCGGGAGAAUAAGCUCCGGCUAACUCCGUGCCAGCAGCCGCGGUAAAAC